rnacentral:rRNA from 1 species
UGGGGAAUUUUGGACAAUGGGGGCAACCCUGAUCCAGCAAUGCCGCGUGAGUGAAGAAGGCCUUCGGGUUGUAAAGCUCUUUUGUCAGGGAAGAAACGGUAGUAGCGAAUAACUACUACUAAUGACGGUACCUGAAGAAGAAGCACCGGCUAACUACGUGCCAGCAGCCGCGGUAAUACGUAGGGUGCGAGCGUUAAUCGGAAUUACUGGGCGUAAAGCGUGCGCAGGCGGUUUGGUAAGACAGAUGUGAAAUCCCCGGGCUUAACCUGGGAACUGCAUUUGUGACUGCCAGACUAGAGUGUAGCAGAGGGGGGUAGAAUUCCACGUGUAGCAGUGAAAUGCGUAGAUAUGUGGAGGAAUACCGAUGGCGAAGGCAGCCCCCUGGGCUAACACUGACGCUCAUGCACGAAAGCGUGGGGAGCAAACAGGAUUAGAUAUAGUCCCUGAGCGGGCUGGCAAGGCGCAU